GGAGAUGUCGUUGAAUGGUAAAGCACUUGCCUAAUGUGUGUAAGACCCUGGUUCAAUCCCUGGUAUCACCA
rnacentral:tRNA from 1 species